GAUGAACGCUGGCGGCGUGCCUAAUACAUGCAAGUCGAGCGAACGGACGAGAAGCUUGCUUCUCUGAUGUUAGCGGCGGACGGGUGAGUAACACGUGGAUAACCUACCUAUAAGACUGGGAUAACUUCGGGAAACCGGAGCUAAUACCGGAUAAUAUUUUGAACCGCAUGGUUCAAAAGUGAAAGACGGUCUUGCUGUCACUUAUAGAUGGAUCCGCGCUGCAUUAGCUAGUUGGUAAGGUAACGGCUUACCAAGGCAACGAUGCAUAGCCGACCUGAGAGGGUGAUCGGCCACACGGGACCUGAGACACGGUCCAGACUCCUACGGGAGGCAGCAGUAGGGAAUCUUCCGAAAUGGGCGAAAGCCUGACGGAGCAACGCCGCGUGGGUGAUGAAGGUCUUCGGAUCGUAAAACUCUGUUAUUAGGGAAGAACAUAUGUGUAAGUAACUGUGCACAUCUUGACGGUACCUAAUCAGAAAGCCACGGCUAACUCGUG
rnacentral:rRNA from 1 species